UAGGUUUUGUGUUUUGGAAAAUCCUCGAUAAAUGGACUGACACUCAAACACUCAACCAACCAACCAACCAGAAAGACUACUGUACUUGAAUCCAGGCUGGUUUGUUUGGGAAACUCUGGUGUAUAAAGGAAAAAAGACACCGAUCUUUCCUGCCCUCACAAGGGUAUCCAUGGAGAAGGAUGAGAAAUCAGACUGUUGAUACCUCACAGGGGGUUAUGACAAAGGUACACACAGGGCUGACAGCCUAGCGGUUAAGAAUGGCUUUCCAGGUCAAAUUCAAGACAAGGUACCCGAGGAGAAGCCACACUUGUAGUGUCAGGGCUGGAGAGGCGGGGGAGGAUGAGGAACUGCCUGUCCCGCAGAGAAGCAGAGGGUAGCGCAGAGGGUGCUCAUGACUGACAGGUCGCGCGCAGAUUUGUGCCCCACCUCUCUCCUGAGGCAGUGCGGAGCUGGGCUCUGAGCCCGGAAUGACAGGUGCAUACAGACAGUUCUUCAGGAUUUCAGGAGCUUUCUGAGUCAUUGCCCAAAGGACUCUGAGAAGUUGUAGGAAUAUGCAGGCGCAGACA